AGAAUGAACGCUGGCGGCAUGCCUAACACAUGCAAGUCGAACGAGACCUUCGGGUCUAGUGGCGCACGGGUGCGUAACGCGUGGGAAUCUGCCCUUGGGUUCGGAAUAACUCAGAGAAAUUUGAGCUAAUACCGGAUAAUGACGUAAGUCCAAAGAUUUAUCGCCCAGGGAUGAGCCCGCGUAGGAUUAGCUUGUUGGUGAGGUAAAGGCUCACCAAGGCGACGAUCCUUAGCUGGUCUGAGAGGAUGAUCAGCCACACUGGGACUGAGACACGGCCCAGACUCCUACGGGAGGCAGCAGUGGGGAAUAUUGGACAAUGGGCGAAAGCCUGAUCCAGCAAUGCCGCGUGAGUGAUGAAGGCCUUAGGGUUGUAAAGUCUCUUUUACCCGGGAAGAUAAUGACUGUACCGGGAGAAGUAAGCCCGGCUAACUCCGCGCCAGCAGCCGC
rnacentral:rRNA from 1 species